rnacentral:lncRNA from 1 species
GGUAAGCAUGACUAAUUCCUGCCAAUUAAGCCAAGCCUCCCAUUUCAUGGAUAGUGGUCAUGCUAGUAUCUAUGGCAUGCAUGAGGUCUAGGGAACUUGAAAGCUACUGACAGCAAGGGGAAAGGCAGUGUGUGGGUAAGGGUGGAUAAUCCUACCCUCUAACCCACCUGUUAACAUGGGUGAAAAGGCACAUUGACACCCAUGGGCAGCACCCUGUCAUUGUCUUCAGAAAGAAAACUGGAUCUGAGGCAGAUGACAAUGGAAGUUAAGAGACAUAGCACAGGUAAGCAUGACUAAUUCCUGCCAAUUAAGCCAAGCCUCCCAUUUCAUGGAUAGUGGUCAUGCUAGUAUCUAUGGCAUGCAUGAGGUCUAGGGAACUUGAAAGCUACUGACAGCAAGGGGAAAGGCAGUGUGUGGGUAAGGGUGGAUAAUCCUACCCUCUAACCCACCUGUUAACAUGGGUGAAAAGGCACAUUGACACCCAUGGGCAGCACCCUGUCAUUGUCUUCAGGACUCCGGGAUACAAGGAAAGAAGGAAGAAAAGGGAUGCCUCUCUUGCCUCUCCCUCACAUACCCUGGGUAUUUGCUGGGAAGAGAAGGGAACUAGGCAUGCCUUGCUCCCCUCUUUCUAGAUGAGUAGCCAUUCA